rnacentral:rRNA from 1 species
AUUGAACGCUGGCGGCAUGCUUUACACAUGCAAGUCGAACGGCAGCACGGGUGCUUGCACCUGGUGGCGAGUGGCGAACGGGUGAGUAAUGCAUCGGAACGUAUCCAAUAAUGGGGGAUAACGCACCGAAAGGUGUGCUAAUACCGCAUACGCCCUGAGGGGGAAAGUGGGGGACCGUAAGGCCUCACGUUAAUGGAGCGGCCGAUGCCUGAUUAGCUAGUUGGUGAGGUAAAGGCUCACCAGGGCGACGAUCAGUAGCUGGUCUGAGAGGACGACCAGCCACACUGGGACUGAGACACGGCCCAGACUCCUACGGGAGGCAGCAGUGGGGAAUUUUGGACAAUGGGCGAAAGCCUGAUCCAGCCAUGCCGCGUGAGUGAAGAAGGCCUUCGGGUUGUAAAGCUCUUUCGCAAGGAAAGAAAACUUAUCCCCUAAUACGGGAUGAGGAUGACGGUACCUUGAUAAGAAGCACCGGCUAACUACGUGCCAGCAGCCGCCGCAGUAA